rnacentral:rRNA from 1 species
UACGGAAGGGGCAAGCGUUGUUCGGAAUCAUUGGGCGUAAAGGGCGCGUAGGUGGUUCUGUAUGUCUGCCGUGAAAGCGUACGGCUCAACCGUAUUUUGUCGGUAGAAACUGCAGGACUUGAGGCUGGGAGGGGCUGGUGGAAUUCCCUGUGUAGCGGUGAAAUGCGUAGAGAUGGGGGAGAACACUCGUGGCGAAGGCGGCCAGCUAGACCAGUUCUGACACUGAGGCGCGACAGCGUGGGGAGCAAACAGG